rnacentral:rRNA from 1 species
GAGUUUGAUCCUGGCUCAGGACGAACGCUGGCGGCGCGCCUAACACAUGCAAGUCGAACGGAGUCAAGAGGAGCUUGCUUUUCUUGACUUAGUGGCGAACGGGUGAGUAACGCGUGAGUAACCUGCCCUGGAGUGGGGGACAACAGUUGGAAACGACUGCUAAUACCGCAUAAGCCCACGGCCCGGCAUCGGGCUGCGGGAAAAGGAUUUAUUCGCUUCAGGAUGGACUCGCGUCCAAUUAGCUGGUUGGUGAGGUAACGGCCCACCAAGGCGACGAUUGGUAGCCGGACUGAGAGGUUGAACGGCCACAUUGGGACUGAGACACGGCCCAGACUCCUACGGGAGGCAGCAGUGGGGGAUAUUGCACAAUGGGGGAAACCCUGAUGCAGCGACGCCGCGUGGAGGAAGAAGGUUUUCGGAUUGUAAACUCCUGUCGUUAGGGACGAUAAUGACGGUACCUAACAAGAAAGCACCGGCUAACUACGUGCCAGCAGCCGCGGUAAUAC